UACGGGGGGGAGCAAGCGUUGUUCGGAUUUACUGGGCGUAAAGGGCGCGUAGGCGGUCGUGACAAGUCACUUGUGAAAUCUCCGGGCUUAACUCGGAACGGUCAAGUGAUACUGUCGGACUAGAGUACAGAAGGGGCAACUGGAAUUCUCGGUGUAGCGGUGAAAUGCGCAGAUAUCAGGAAGAACACCCGUGGCGAAGGCGGCUCUCUGGGACGGUACUGACGCUGAGACGCGAAAGCGUGGGGAGCGAACAGG
rnacentral:rRNA from 1 species